UUAUUAUCCUCUUUACUGUUUGAGCAUCUACCUCACAUUUUACUUUGUGACAUAAUUGAAAUAAUUUAUUUAUAAGGAAUAUGCAGGAGUGCCAGUCCAGACUAUGGCUGAUCCAACUGGUCUGCUUUAUUAUGGAUAAAUAGAAAUUAACAUCUAAAAGCACAGUACUUCUCCAACUGUUUAUGCAUAAGAUAAAGUAUUGUUAAUUUUAUCAUGAGAUAGUUACUGUGUGGCUUUGACAAGUUGUUUUGCCACUUUGUAUUAGCUGUAACUAUCAUAAUUAUCCAGGAUAAGACUCUCAAAUGACUUGCUUUUAUUUCAUUUCUUAUCAAGCAUAAUAGUAAAUUUAGGUUAGUGGGACAAAUUAUAAUUUUUAGUCACUCUCAGAGCCAUGAGAAAGGUUGCUUUUUUCACCACAAAAAGCAUAUAAUACUGCCUCAUCUUGUGAGAUAAGUAAUAAGCGUUAUAUUUCCUUUUCUGUUGGUUGUGUUGGAGUCUUUAUAGUUUGCCUGAGACAAGGGAAGUCAUAAAAUUAUCCUUGCAUUCUUUUCACCUGCAUCAAGCUUCCCUGUAGCCACACAUAGCUAUGCUACAUGUCAGCAAGAUUCCUUUGAAAGAACAGUACACUGGAGUUUCUUUAGUGAAAAACCACACAUUCCCAUGGAAACUGCAGUUGAACAUAUUCUGUCCAAACUACAUACCCAUCACAAAAUGUUAGAAUUGAAUUGUUUCUUUGAUUCAGUUGCAGCACAGCUCCCUGUGUUGUCUCUUGCAGUUGAGAUAUUAAGGCUUAUGUCAAAACAAGCCAGAAUCUUUCUGACCGUCUCCUUUUUUGAAGGGAGGAGAUUUUAGGGAACUAUACUGCUAUUCCUUUUCAUUUAAUGAUGAAUUGUUUUACCAGUUCUGAUAAUCUGUAGCCACUUAAGCUUCCGGGGUUUUUUUUGAAUUACAUCACUGAAAGCAACAACUUGUUAUUGUGUCCUUCUGUGUGCACCAUUGAGGUAUUAAUUGCAUUGAGAGUUGGUAAGACUUGAGAAGUUGCAGAGAAACUUAUUCCAGGCCUAUUCCAUACGACAUACUCCCCAACCCAAGAUCACUUGAAAGAUGAGCACAGCAAUCCUACAAUUAUCUGUCUGAAUGGAACCAAAAUUCACUCCGAAAUAGAGCAAUACAUCAUCCAGGGCUGUCUGCUUUCUUUGUGUUAUGUGCAUUGAACUGGAUCUUCUUUUUCUUUUGUUCACUGUUUUUAUCUCUCCAAGAGGUUUAUUCUCUGAGAAACAACACUGAGGAGUCAGCUGCUUUUGAUGUGCACUUUGCUGUAUAACCUGUGUCUCACUUGAGGAGGAGUAUGCAGGCUGCUUCAAGCAAAAUUGUCAGUAAUGCUUUUAUUUAAAUCUGUGUCUGUUCUUACACAUUUCAGAAUACCUUGGGAGGAAGGCUGUGUUUUGUUUCAUUGAGUAGAGGUAUUACUCUGGCUUUGUCACAAUGGCAUGUGUAAAUGCGAACUCUGUUCAAUUUGGGAAUGUGCAAACCAGUAGAUAGCCUUGCUAAAGAUUGUCUUUCGAAAGUCAUUUUGCUUAUGUCAGGAAGAGGACAAGAGAAGUAUCACAGACUCCCAGGGCUGUGUAAUUCUUCUUAGAAAAUGACUUUAAAAUGGUUUGGGUUGAGUGCCAAAAGCACUCCACUGCCAGUGCACUUGGAUGGCAGGAGAGUGUGCUUUCUCCAUACAGUCAUAGUGUUUCAUGCCGUUGUCACGUUGAAGGACACAGUUUCAUUCAUGGGCAUUAAAUGUGAUAUUAUUCAGGAAAAUGCUCAUUAGCUCUAUUUAAAAACAAAUAAAUAAAUAAACAAAUAUACACAUGAACACUGAUUUCAAAGUCAUGAUGUUAAUUGCUUUUUUGCUUUUGUUGUUAUUUUCAUUUCUGUAACCUGCAGGUGAUGCUCUCCACAACCACAGUGCUCUGUUCCUUGAGAACAGCUCUUUGAACAUACCUUUCUCUCAGGAGAGUUCUGGAUCUCCAAAUACAUCUGAUCAACCACAAGGGAAAACAAGAAAGUUGAGCUUGGCCAGCACAAACAGUGAAAACUCAGGGUCAACAGAAAGCUUGCCAUCAGCAUACCUCACCAACAUUACUGCAAAGUGGUGGGGAACAAAACGAAUAGAUUAUGCGUUGUAUUGUCCAGAUGUGCUGACAGCCUUUCCAACGGUGGCCCUUCCGCAUCUCUUCCAUGCCAGCUACUGGGAGUCAACAGACGUUGUGGCUUUCAUUCUAAGACAGGUGAUGAGGUAUGAAAAUACAAAUUUCAAGGAAAAUGACAAUCUGGAUCCAGAAACACUAAGUCCAUCUAAUCCACGAGAAAAAUGGCUACGCAAAAGGACACAUGUCAAAUUGAGAAAUGUGACUGCUAAUCACCGAGCUAAUGAUGUCAUUGCAGCAGAAGAUGGUCCUCAGGUACUAGUUGGGCGCUUUAUGUAUGGACCUCUGGACAUGGUGGCUUUAACAGGUGAAAAGGUGAAGUCUGAGUACUCAAUUUUC